rnacentral:tRNA from 1 species
UCUAAUAUGGCAGAUAAGUGCAAUGGAUUUAAGCUCCAUAUAUAAAGGGUAUGCCUUUUGUUAGAA